rnacentral:rRNA from 1 species
AGAGUUUGAUCCUGGCUCAGGAUGAACGCUGGCGGCGUGCUUAACACAUGCAAGUCGAACGGACCAUAUUCGUAUGGUUAGUGGCAGACGGGUGCGUAACACGUAGGUGACCUGCCCUCGAGUGGGGAAUAACGCGACUAACGUCGCGCUAAUACCGCAUACGUUGACUCUUUCGUUAGGGUCAGUAAAGCAGCAAUGCGCUGGGGGAUGGGCCUGCGGCGGAUUAGGUAGUUGGUGGGGUAACGGCCUACCAAGCCGAUGAUCCGUAGGGGCGUGAGAGCGUGGCCCCCCACAUUGGCACUGAGACACGGGCCAAACUCCUACGGGAGGCAGCAGUGAGGAAUAUUGCACAAUGGGCGCAAGCCUGAUGCAGCAACGCCGCGUGAGGGACGAAGGCCUUCGGGUUGUAAACCUCUUUUCUGAGGGACGAGCAAGGACGGUACCUCAGGAAUAAGUCUCGGCUAACUACGUGCCAGCAGCCGCGGUAAAACGUAGGAGGCGAGCGUUAUCCGGAUUUACUGGGCGUAAAGCGCACGCAGGUGGCUCUGCAAGUCGGACAUGAAAGCUCCUGGGCUUAACUGGGAGAGGUGGUUCGA